rnacentral:rRNA from 1 species
UACGGAGGGUGCAAACGUUGCUCGGAAUCAUUGGGCGUAAAGCGCACGUAGGCGGCCUGUUAAGUCGGGUGUGAAAGCCCUGGGCUCAACCCAGGAAGUGCACUCGAAACUGGCGGGCUUGAAUAUGGAAGAGGGUCGCGGAAUUCCCGGUGUAGAGGUGAAAUUCGUAGAUAUCAAGAGGAACACCAGUGGCGAAGGCGAGUCCCUGGACAACACCUGACACUGAGGCACGAAAGCUAGGGGAGCAAACAGG